rnacentral:rRNA from 1 species
GAUGAACGCUGGCGGCGUGCCUAAUACAUGCAAGUCGAGCGAACAGACGAGGAGCUUGCUCCUCUGACGUUAGCGGCGGACGGGUGAGUAACACGUGGAUAACCUACCUAUAAGACUGGGAUGACUUCGGGAAACCGGAGAUAAUACCGGAUAAUAUAUUGAACCGCAUGGUUCAAUAGUGAAAGACGGUUUUGCUGUCUCUUAUAGAUGGAUCCGCGCCGCAUUAGCUAGUUGGUAAGGUAACGGCCUACCAAGGCAACGAUGCGUAGCCGACCUGAGAGGGUGAUCGGCCACACUGGAACUGAGACACGGUCCAGACUCCUACGGGAGGCAGCAGUAGGGAAUCUUCCGCAAUGGGCGAAAGCCUGACGGAGCAACGCCGCGUGAGUGAUGAAGGUCUUCGGAUCGUAAAACUCUGUUAUUAGGGAAGAACAAAUGUGUAAGUAACUAUGCACGUCUUGACGGUACCUAAUCAGAAAGCCACGGCUAACUACGUG